UUCAGCGUGCUUGCCUCUGCGUCCGUCCGAUCGUGACCUCCGAUUGAUGGCAACCAUUGAUAUAUUUCAGUGCGACGUAUAUAAACGAGGCACAGACGGUAGAAACCCUAGCCGCAGCCCCGCUCCGCUCUCGCGCAGUCACGGCCUCACGGGCCCUCCGCCGAUUCGCCCCGGGUCCUCUCCUCGCCGGUGACUCGCCACCGUCCACAAUCGAUGCCCGAGAUUUCCAAGAUGCGAGGUGACUGCACAACCACCGCGCCGGAAUGGCGGCCUCCUGGGCUAAGCGUCGCUCCGCCUUCGCCUCUGCCACAUCGGCGCCGCCAGCCGGUGCCUUCCCCGACCCGGCGUCUGCUACAACGAUGCUCCAUCCUCUCUGCUCCUCCCGUCGGAUCACACCACUGCUUCCUUGAGACCACGUGAAUGACGACCUCAUUGCCUGUCUGUUGCCCUUCCUCAACAGCAACAACGACGCAGGGUCGACAGUGUUCUGCAAGAUUUGUGUAGAUUAUUACUCAAAUAGUUCUUAUUCUGAUUCAGCAGGGUAAUGGUGAAGAUGACAAUUUUUCCAUUGUAUUUGCUACUAUUGGAGUUGGCGUGAUCUUGAAGAGAAUGGUUCAAUGGAGAAUGUCAGGAUUGUUCUGAAUUUGGUAUUUACACUAUGUAUUUAUUAGCCAGGCUUUUUAUGUUUAUUUAUUAUUACUUCCAAAAUUCCUGUAGUUGAUACAUAUUGUUUUACAUGUCUCCUAAAAAAUCUUUGAUCUGUCAAUGCCAAGCUAAACAUAUUUUAAACACUCCACACCACCUUGAAAUGUACUAACAACAGCCAAUUAUUUGGCUUGUGAAUAUAUGCAGCAGCUCAUAAUUUAGGUGCUAUGAGGGGUGGAGCACCUAGGACAUUGAUGGUAUGGACAAAGAAUUUACCGUCAAAGAGUUUUUUUUAGAUAAACAUAUGUGUUGGCAUUACAACUACUAUUUGUUGAAUGAAGCUAUUGGAGUUAUUUGUUACUAUAUCAGCUUUCCAUUUUGUACAUGAAGCCUUCCUGUUAUUUAUUUCUGUGUCUAACAUGUUCAAAUCUUCGCAGCAUGCCUUUUGUGCAACACCAUAUUUUUAGCCCUUCGCCAUUCCAUUGCUUCUAGAUAAACUCGCUUCCUCUCUUCGAUUAGCAAAGGCCAGCAGCUUAACAUACCUUAUUUUUUCCAUUUUCUUUUUGUAUUCUAUAAAUAUUUUAGCCAAGAAUAUGGAAAAUUUGGUAAACCAGUACAUUAGUCUCUACCCCUAAUGCAGUUUCAAGGGGAUGUGUCAUGUUCCUUUAAUCCUUGAAGCUAGGAACACGGGAACUGAGCUCUUGCUUCAGGUAUAUUAUGAAGAUUAGGACAGUUGGACGGUAGAGGCCAGAUCAGGUAUAAUGAUGUUACUAAAAAGAAUGAGAGGGUGAGCUCCUACCAGUUUCAGCAUUGAAGUAGCUUGCAAUGUAUUAAUUUUCUGUAAUGCCUCCUGCCUUUAUUCUGGUAUUUUUCAUAUAAAUAAACAUGCAUGGAAUGUCCAAUGUUCUGUGAUGAUUAAAUACAAACUGUCAAAUUCUAACCCCUGAUCUUGCAGCAUAAAGGUAUCAGAUCAUUUCAACAAGAGCUUACACCAUUAAUAGCUAAUAUAAGUUGUAUGUUACUGGUCUUCAGUAAUUAGCAUAGUUUCAUGUUUAGUACUUUUUGGCAUUGGGUUGUCGAACUUUUAGUGUUCCCAUUUGCAUAUUCAGUUUUGAUAUUACUUGUAUAUAGAAAUGCCUCUCUGAAUUAUGUGCAACAUGUGUUUGCUUGAUUCUUAAAUAUAAGCCAAAAAAAAAUUGCAUAUUAGUUAUCUCCGUACUAAUUAGUAUAGUUUUAGAGCAGUGUUGUAGUCAAAUUAGGGAAUCGGGUGGGCUCAUAGACGAGACUGUUACUGCAAUUUGGGAAUGUUUAGGUGGGAAAACCAUUUUUUUUGUCAGGCUCCUAAUUAAGCAAUGUAUAUAUGUCAGGCAGUUCUUCGGAAACCGAACAUUUUGGUUCAUGCUCAGUGUCCCUUUGGUUGGUUGUAUAGUUAAACAGCUAAUCACUUUGUUGCGGAGUGUUACAAUAUUAAAGGUGUCUUUCAAGUGCUGGGAGUUGACCACUCGGGUAUUUCUAAUUUAAGCAGAGUCUAUAUAAGAUAUAAAAAAUAAGAUCCCGUGCAUAUGAACAGUUUGGUCAGCUUGCAAACUUAAGGAGAAGAAAAGCUCCCCUAAUAAUGCUGACACUUAGAUGAGGGGUAGGAAGAGAAAGGAAAGAAAAGCGUGGAGGCCUAGAAAAUCUACUUCAAGGUACUCAAGCAGGCCCACCCUUGACAUCGCCAUCUCCUGCAAGGCCAUGUCCAUAAUGAACUCAUUCAUCAACAUCUUUGAGGAGCUGUCUGCGAGGCUGCCAAUCGCGUCCGCUACAACAAGAAGCCAACCAUCGCCUCCUGGGUGAUCCAGACCUGUGUCUGCCUCAUCCCUCCUCUCGCUGUCUAUGAGGGCACCAAUGCUAUCACUGAGUUCCCCUCAUCUUAGAUUGCAUUGUUUGCAUACCUUUGUAAUUGUAGUAGCAGUUGGUAGUUCGCUUUGUUUAACUAGAAAUAUUGUUCGAGCUCAACUGAAAAUCCUGAAUGUAUGGCAUGGUACUGAUCUGAAGUACUAAUAAUGUGUUGCUUCUUU